GAUGCCUAGCUCAUAUUUUCUAUUAUCAAGGCAAAAACUAAGAAUUAACGAAAAAAAUUAUGCAAGAACUUAUGUAUGUGCGAACACGUGAAAUUGGUAUCACAUGUAAUUGGCAUGUUAUGGAAUUUAACUACACUCUAAAAAAGAUUGGUUCUUCAGCGGUUCUUUGGGGUGGUUAAGGUGCUAUAUAGCACCACUACCUUAUAAAGAACCUGUAAAGCCCCUGUAUGGUUCUUCAGCAGUUCCUUGCUGUGGUUAAGGUGCUAUAUAGCACCACUGCCAUAAAAAGAACCCGUUAAGCCUCUGUAUAGUUCUUUAAAGGUUCUCUAACUCUCUUAUUCUCUUAGUUUAGGUGGGGAAAGCAUUAAAAACAACAUUAAAUUACAGUAUAUUUUCUAAACAUAACCUGGUUCUCAACCUUUUUGUCCCCAAGCCCUCUGUAAAAGUGAAUGUUGUAAGUUGGAUUGCUAUAACUAUUUGAGUCUAAUUAGUUCUUCUUUCUGCGAAUUGCUCUCAAUAUUGUACACUCAACUACUCAAAUAUCUCACUUUCAGCCAAAGGAUAAUUUCUCUUUAAGGACCCCGUGACAGACGUUUUUUUUUCUGACGUCAUGACCGCCAUUAAUUUCCCCUGGACUCGGAUGAAUUAAGGAUCUAAAACUCUUCAAUGUUUGACGACUAAGGACACUUUGCAAUAACUUUACAUGUGACAGUAACCAUUGACAUUACAUUAAUCACAGAAGAUCACAGUUCCAGCUAAAAAUAUUUACUGUUCUACUGAAGAAAUAAAAAAAAGUCAACUUGGAUGGCCUGAUGACUGAAAACAUUCACCUGAGAAGUGUGUCCUGAAGGCCCUUAUCUUUUUCCUGAUAGAAAGUCCUGAAGACCUCAUCAAGGAGUACUUUCUGAGUUGAACGAUAACCCGACAGAUGAUUGAGGAGCAGCUCACCAUGGCGAUGUUCAUUAUUUGGAAGGAGGGGGAGAACUUCAUGAACCAUCUGCUGACAUUGAGGGAGUUAAAGAUUUGAAUCAACUUACUUAAGUUACAUCAGCUUGUGCCCUGCUUCUAGGCCUACAGUUAGAAGCAGCUAUUCUCCUCUUGCCUGCACUGUUCAAGGUGGACCUGGGGUUGCUGUUUGACAUUGAGGGCCAUGCUCAGACCAGCCCUCCUAUCAUCCCAACACCUAAGAUAGUGCCUAAAGCCUGCGGGAGGAUCAUCUCAUGCAGUAUGACCACAUUUUGUUCACGUUGGAUGGCCAGUUAAUCACAGAGUAGAGUGAGGAC